GCCUAUGGCCAUACCAGCUUGAGAACACCCAAACUGAUCUGAUUUCGGAAGCUAAACAGAGCAGGGCCCAGUUAGUAUGUGGAUGGGAGACUGCCUGGGAAUACUGGGUGCUGUAGGCU
rnacentral:rRNA from 1 species